rnacentral:lncRNA from 1 species
GCUCUCCUACCAGUGGAGAUUUUGACCUCCGGCCACCAUCUCAUGUCAUCGCCACAAUCACUCAAACCAGUUCCCAAAUCCGAGCAGAGCCUAACCAAGAUCAUCACCAUGCAUCACCGUCAGCUCCACUUGCAAUCAACACAGCUUCACCGCCGGGUUGUCUAGUCAAAGCUCUCAUUCCAGUCCUCUCUGCAACGCAUAACUAGUCCAGCUGACAGUGGUUACCUCACUUCAUCCACUAUCGUCGCCGAUUGAUGAUGAACGACGCUGCAGCAACAUCGUCGGAGCUGUGGCUCCACAGGAUUCACAUGUCUUCGAUCUCCGGCCACCAUCUCUUGUCACUGCCACCAUCAGUCAAACCAGCUCUCGAUUUCGAUAAAAACCCGAGCCCAGCACCGUCAUGCAUCAACUCCGAUCUCUACACGCUCUCCUCAAAUCUGAGACGCCGCUGCUCCUCUAAGACUACCGGUCUCCGGUCAUUCCCCUACCUCAUCACCGUCCCCAGCGUCCUUAGCCUGAGCUGAUGGUCAAGAUUUCCAAGCCGUGUAGCUCCCCGGUGCCGGACGCCACCAUACAAGCGCUGUUGGAUCGAUUCAUAGUUUCCGGCCUCGUCAGAGUGAUGCCACCGCUAGACUAGAAUCAGCACCCCAACGUCUACCAAAGCCUCUUGUCCCGACCUCUAACUCCGAUCAGAGCUACCUCGUGCCACACACGCCCCUAGCUCCACCACUCUCGACUUCUGGAGCUUCGGAUCACCAUUAUUGGGUAAUCUUCGUGUCUUCCUUUUGAUUGGAGUUCUGGUUUAAGUGGAAUGAAGCCACUAAUGUUA